AGCAGCCGCGGUAAUUCCAGCUCCAAUAGCGUAUAUUAAAGUUGCUGCAGUUAAAAAGCUCGUAGUUGAAUUUCGGGACUAAUAUGUCGGUCGUGCCUCGGUACGCACUGGCUUAUUGGUUUCUCCUUUCUGAAGAACCAUGAUGUCAUUAAUUUGGUGUCUUGGGGAAUCAGGACUGUUACUUUGAAAAAAUUAGAGUGUUUAAAGCAGGCUCACGCUUGAAUACAUUAGCAUGGAAUAAUGAAAUAGGACGUUUGAUUCUAUUUUGUUGGUUUCUAGGAUCGACGUAAUGAUUAAUAGGGAUAGUUGGGGGCAUUAGUAUUCAAUUGUCAGAGGUGAAAUUCUUGGAUUUAUUGAAGACUAACUACUGCGAAAGCAUUUUGCCAAGGAUGUUUUCAUUAAUCAAGAACGAAAGUUAGGGGAUCGAAGACGAUCAGAUACCGUCGUAGUCUUAACCAUAAACUAUGCCGACUAGGGAUCGGAUGAUGUUAAUUUUUUAAUGACUCAUUCGGCGCCUUAC
rnacentral:rRNA from 1 species